rnacentral:rRNA from 1 species
UACGGAGGAUCCAAGCGUUAUCCGGAUUCAUUGGGUUUAAAGGGUGCGUAGGCGGAAUGAUAAGUCAGUGGUGAAAUCUCGGAGCUUAACUCCGAAACUGCCAUUGAUACUGUCAAUCUUGAGUACAUUUGAUGUGGGCGGAAUGUGUCAUGUAGCGGUGAAAUGCUUAGAUAUGACACAGAACACCGAUUGCGAAGGCAGCUCACAAAACUGUAACUGACGCUGAGGCACGAAAGCGUGGGGAGCAAACAGG